rnacentral:lncRNA from 1 species
UUUAUUUAUUUAUUUAUCUUUUAUUUUUUGUGGGGUCACUUACAAUGUCUUUUUUUUUUCAUUUCUGAUUCUGGUCAUUUUCACCUUUUUUCUUUUCUUUUCCUUCCUCCCCCCUCUCUUUCUCUCUCUCCUUCCUUCCUUCCUUCCUUCCUUCCUUCCUUCCUUCCUUCCUUCCUCCCUUCCUUCCUUCCUUCCUUCCUUUCCCCUCCUUCUUCUUCCUCCUCCUCCCCCAAUCUCUGGUCACACUGGCUGCAGAUAUAUCAGUUUCCUUCAUUAUUUAAAAGAACCACUUCCCCUCCCCCCGUCACCUUUACAGGAUUUUCCAUUGUGAUGCCGUUUAUCGAGUGUCCUUGCACAGUGACUUACCGUUCUGGAAGCACCAACACACAUAAAGCAGGUGUGUGGCUAGGCUCUCAGAGGGGGCGUUGAGGAAGGAAUCCCUGCAGCAGCCACACAGCUGAAAGGAAGGGAAGAUGCAUGCAGUGCAGGUCCUAGUGUUGGCUCCAGAGCUCAGCGGCUCUCACUGUACAGGGGACCUCUCUGUUGCAUGUGCAGUCUGUACCACUGGUGGCUAGACUCCACGACUAAGGGAAAAGUUAUGGUCCAGUGCUCCCCUCUUGUAAGCCUCAGCAGCCCCUGGCUAGUCUCCUUCCACCUUGUCUGGGAGAGGGGUCCGAAGUACUGUCUACUGCCCACAGUGACUGGGUACCUGCUUUGCCUGCGGGAGGGGUCCAAGGUGAGGCGGGGUCUUGAGAGGCCCCCGCCUCUCUGUAAUCUGAAGGAAUUGCAAGAAGUUGUUUCUGUUUUCUCUUUCCUACUGCUGCCUGCUUUCUCAGGUUCUUUCUGAGGAAACAGAGAUGUGUGCGUGUGUGUGUGUGUGUGUGUGUGUGUGUGUGUGUGUGUGUGUGUGUAGGUAACAUAGGCUUGGAGUGUAUUACAUGUAACAUACCCUCCCCAUCCACAAGGGCAAGGUUAGGGGAGAAAGUCAUACUGAGCCCCAACUGACUUCUCACUUUUCUUAAUUGUGAUUCCCAAAGCACUAAUUUCUUUCAGUGCGGGGAGGCAUUUCUGACUCUGGACUGUGUAAACAUCACAUGGUAGUUCAAAAGUCAGAGAGGGUGGGAGGGAGGACACAGAGCAGAGGGAGAUGGGAGAUGGAGGACUGGAGGCAAGAAGAGGGAGGAGGAGAAUCAUGGGAGGCGCAAGCCACAGGAAAUUUUCUGGGGGAGCACAGGUCAGCACAGCCCCACAGUGGGGUGUAGGGAAGGUUGAGGUGUGUAGCGGGAGGUAGAGGGCAGAAGCGUACUUAGAGCCCACUCCACACCAGUCUCCGGAGGUUUUUGGUGGGCCUCCAUUCCCUGGGCAUGGUAAGUAGGCAGCUGGCACUCAUAGUGCCCUGCCUGAUGGGGCACCACUGGAGCUGAGAGAAGCAGUUGGUGCUCUGUGCCCUGAGAUAUAACCUGAGGCCCAGGGGGCUCUAGGCAGGCUUUGCCUAGAGGCCAAGGUUUGGUGUUAAAUCACUGACCUAUUUCCCCCCCCAUCCCCAAACACAAUAGCAAGAGAGGUGGUAGGUGAGGUUGGGGCUCCUGGCUUUAGACACUGAUGGGUCCGAACUCUUUCAUUUACAUGAGCACACGCACGCAUGCACAGAGCCAGGCCUGGUAGUUCAGGCCUGUGAUCACAUAACCACAGCUAGUCAGGAAGCUAAGGCAGGAUACUGAGAGUUCAAGCCAGCCUUGGCUACAGGAUGAGUUCAAGGUCACCUUAUUAGACUUAUAAAGAAAAAGGAAAGAGAAGAGGUGGGGUGUACCUUAGUGUGAACGUGGGUGCUUACUUAGGACUUGCAAGGCUCCAGCUUUAGUCCUUAUCAGUGUACACGUGGAACGUGGUGAUGUUGAUCUUGCUGCCAUGCUGACCGUGCUAGGCUGGUGUAAGGAUUAGGCAACUUGCAGGCACAGUCCUGGUAUAUGAUAUAGACCCUUGCUCAUUCAAUGACUCUUUAUCUAAUAUUCUGACAUCCUAGGAUUAUGAGGUACAAAGUGUCUCAAUAAUAACAUCAGGGUUCAAAGCCCCAGGAGAUCCACAGUGUCAAUUGAGGGUAGCUCUACAGAAUGACACCCUACAUACCUGCUGCAGCCACCUGCUGACCGGCCAGCCUUCCUUCCUGGUUGGUCUUCCUUUUAGUUCCACCCUGCUGAGAACUCUCAGGGGGUGCUGAUGUCUGGCUGAUGUAUGACUUGGCUAGCUGUCCCCAGCAGUGAGCAGGUGGGUGGAUGUCCGUGGGGGGCCAUUAGGAGGAGAGGGGUGUGUAUUACUUGGGCACAGAGCGAGUCACAGAUUAACACCCUGGCCUGUCCCCACUGGCCCUGGCCCGAGCACCCAAGCGAGGGUGCCCAGAGGUGGCUGGGUUCUAGCCAGGUUCUGUGGAGCACAGCAGGGGGCAGGUCACUCCUGGGUCAUGAAUGAUGGGAGGGGCAGCCAAAAGCCUCUUCCUGUCCAUGAAAACUCACAGGGAUUGGGUUCUGCCACCAGGCACAGUUACAGAGAUCCUGUGUCCUUGAGCCCAUGGGAUCCACAGAACCCAACCCUCAGGACUUCUGGGUAAUGGACGUGGAUGUGCCCACUGGGGAGGCCAAGGAAGUGGGCAGGGAAGUUAACUGUGUUCUCAUGGCCAGUGAGAUUAGCAUGAGGUCCCCAGAUUUGAAUUUAGGAUUGAGGGGGCUUUUGUAGACUCUGAUCUGACCUCAAGUCUUGGCUUUACUAGCUGGGAUUUGGGGCCUGUUUGUGAUUUGAAUUCUCAAUCUGUCUUCCCUCAUGUGUUACGGUGAGACUCAAAUGAAUUGAUACACAUAGAGAUGCUUAGAAGAGUAGGUAAAUGCCGGUGACUCUUGACAUCACUCUGCUGAAAGCGGAGUCUGAGGCAGAGGCUGCAGACUGUCCUCAUUUUCUGCCUAAGACUCCUUGUCUUCCCAGGAAUGAUGGCACUGGGUCUUAUAAGGUGGUGAGCUCUUAGCAGCUGUGUCUUUAAGAGGAAGGCUGGAUUGACCGCAAUUGGUCUCUUGUUUGCCGAUCUGGGGGGUUAGAGUCAAUGCUGGUUUAUUUCCUGCCUCCAUUGACAAAGAAGUGGCCUUGGGCCAUUUCUGCAGUCAUUUGGUUCUCAGUGAUGAACCUGUCUGCUGGCAAGGAUCUUGGUGUGGAUGAAGUCAGCGAGGUGCAGAGUGUGUUCUGCAAUGCGUGGUGUGCUGUAGCCAGUGAUGUGUAACUAUGGUGGCUAUUCACGGGAUGCUGAUUUGGCCUGUCUGAGGAUCCCAGCUCAGAAAUACCUGUGUUACUUAAAUCCUCAGGCCAGCUGUGUUUGCUAUGCUCCCUGGGUAGCAUAUAUGUCUGACCUCUCCUUUGGGGUGCCUUAGGGCUUUGUGGGGUGCUUCUUAGAUGGAGUUCUUUCCCUCUACAGACUUGAUCCUUGUCCUCUGGUUAUUGUAACCCUAGUCUGGGUCCAUGUUUUUAGAAAACUGUGUGUGUGUGCAUGCGUAUGUAGUGACCACAGGACAACCUCAGAUGUCACCCUCAGGAACACUCUCCUUCAGACAGGAUAACUCACUGGCCUGGACCUCACCUGGACACUUUUAUGUGGGCUUUGGAGAUUGAAAUGAGGCCCUUGUACUUGCUGACUGAGCCAUAUUUCUAGGCCCCGCUCCCUACCUACUUUUUUUUUUUAACUUUAAUUUUUCAGGGGAUUUCAGAUUU